AUUGAACGCUGGCGGCAGGCCUAACACAUGCAAGUCGAGCGGCAGAAGGGGGCUUGCUCCUGGAUUCAGCGGCGGACGGGUGAGUAACGCCUAGGAAUCUGCCUGUCUGUUGGGGAUAAGGGCCUGAAACGGGCGAUAAUACCGCAUACGUCCUGAGGGAGAAAGUGGGGGAUCUUCGGACCUCACGCCAUCAGGUGAGCGUAGGUCGGAUUAGCUAGUUGGUGGGGUAAAGGCCCACCAAGGCGACGAUCCGUAACUGGUCUGAGAGGAUGAUCAGCCACACUGGAACUGAGACACGGUCCAGACUCCUACGGGAGGCAGCAGUGGGGAAUAUUGGACAAUGGGCGCAAGCCUGAUCCAGCCAUACCGCGUGUGUGAAGAAGGUCUUCGGGUUGUAAAGCACUUUUGGUUGGAAAGAAAAGCAGCAGGUUAAUACCCCGCUGUUCUGACGGUACCAAAAGAAUAAGCACCGGCUAACUUCGUG
rnacentral:rRNA from 1 species